UCCCUGGUGGUCCAGUGGCUAAGACUCUGCAUUCCCAAUGUAGGGGCCUGGGUUCAAUCCCCGGCCAGGGAA